AUGUCGAGUACAGGUAGAAAGUAUCCAUCCGGAAGUCAUAAAAGAAAGAAGAAGAAGAAGGCAGAUGAGGAGAAAGAAGCAUUGAGCGGAUCUCUUUUUAAUUAUUAUAAGAGCGAUACGAGCACGCCUAGUAAUCCAGACGAGUUGGCGAUAGUUCUUGCGGGUGACCGAACUGAUGGCAAUCCGGAAGAUGAUGGUCAUACUCCUACAGAAGGCGAUGUUGAUGUCAACAUGGAUGAUAGCAAUGUGAGUGAUCAUGAGCCCAUAUUUAAUUCAUCUGCGGCAGAAUCUACUAGUGUUGAUGAUGAACCAAUUAGUGUGGAUAUUUAUGAUCCAAGCAAUUGGGGUAAUCUUGAUAACAAAGCGAGGGACAUAUUAGUGGAAAAGGGGCCUAAAAGGGAAGAAGAAAACACUAAAUAUCCUUUGGAUGAGAAUUUAAGACAUUUUUCAUAUAGCCAUUACUCAAGAAAGAUGAGCAAUGGAGAGGUCCGUGAUAGAAAAUGGUUAGUUUUUUCAAAACACACAAAGAAAGUGUUUUGUUUUUGCUGUAAGCUUUUCAAUUCUGAUAAAUGCAAAAGUGCAAUGGGGAAUGAUGGGUUUUGUGAUUGGAGGCAUAUUAAUGAGAGACUGAAAGAGCACGAAGCUAGUGUCGACCAUAUUACCAACAUGAACUCUUGGAAUGAAUUGAGAGUUAGACUGAGCAAGCAUGAAACAAUUGACAAAGACUUACAGCAACAAAUCACAAAGGAGAAGGAACGCAUAAGGCUAGUUUUGUUAAGAAUUGUUUCCAUUGUGAAAUUUCUUGGUAAGCGCAAUUUGGCUUUUAGAGGAUCCAGUGAGCAACUUUAUGAUGAUUGUAAUGGAAAUUGUUUAGCUUGUGUGGAGAUGGUUGCAAGGUUUGAUUUGGUAAUGCAAGACCAUCUUAGGCGUAUUCAAAACAAAGAGAUCCAUCACCAUUAUCUUAGCCAUAAAAUUUAAAACGAGUUGAUUCCUCUUAUGGCUAGUGACAUUACAAAUUCUAUUCUCAAGAUUGUCAAAGUGGCCAAAUAUUUCUUGGUUAUCCUAGAUUGUACCCCGGAUGUGAGCCAUCAAGAACAAAUGAGUUUGUUGGUUCGAUGUGUUCAUAUGUCUGAUGGAAAAAUACAAGGAGUACUCCUUGCUUUUUUGGUAGUGGAGGACACAUCUGGUUUGGGAAUUUUCAAGGUAUUGGUUGAUUCUAUGAAGUCCUUUGAUCUUAAUAUUGAUGAUAUUAGGGGCCAAGGUUAUGACAAUGGAUCCAACAUGAAAGGAAAAUACAAGGGGGUGCAAAGUCGGUUGCUUGAGGUAAAUCCAAGAGCUUUGUAUAUGCCAUGUGCUUACCACAGUAUUAAUCUUACCAUGUGUGAUAUGGCUAAAUCUUGUGGUAGAGCAGUUUCUUUUUUUGGAAUUGUGCAACGAAUAUAUGUAUUAUUCAGUGGUUCUACAAAAGGAUGGAAAGUUUUUGUUAGCCAUGUGACAGAUUUGACUGUGAAAUCUUUGAGCAAUACUCGUUGGGAGAGUUGUAUCAAAAGUGUUAAAGCAAUCAGAUUUCAAGCUCCUAACAUAAGAUCAGCUUUACUUGAGUUAAGUGAAGAUAGUGGUACCGAACCAAAGGAUAGGAGUGAUGCUAAAAAUUUGUUUGAUGUGCUUGGCAGCUAUGUGUUCAUACUUGGCAUGGUCAUUUGGCAUAACAUUCUAUUUGCUGUAGAUUCGGUAAGCAGGAAGCUGCAAUCACCAUCCAUGUGCAUUGAGACUGCCUUAAAGCAAAUAGAUGGUAUGAGGACUUAUUUUGACACUUAUAGAGAUGGGUUUGAUUCUAGUGUGAUCAUUGCCAAAGAAAUCGCAGCUGAAAUGGGUGUAGAACCAUAAUUUCCAGUAAAGCACUGUGUUUCUAGGAAGAAACAAUUUGAUGAAGAUGACAGUGAUGAAGCGAUAUUGGAAGCUGAGAAGGAUUUUAAAGUCAAUUAUUACUUGAUUAUGGUUGAUAAGGCGGCCACCUCACUAAAAAUUAGAUUUGACGAACUUGAGUCAUUCAAAAGUAUAUUUGGAUUUUUAAUGAGUUCAACAGCCUUGAAGUCAUUGGACCGUUCUGAACUUAAAGAAAGUUGUACAAAAUUUGCAAGUGCUUUCUCUUCGGGUGGUUCAUCUGAUGUUGAUUUAAAUGAUCUGAUUUCUGAGUUAAUUGUUAUGCAGUCAACUUUGCUCGAUAGAACAAUGUCUGCUAUGGAGAUUUUUGAGUUUGUCAGGGAAGCAGAUUGUUAUCCAAAUAUUGCUAUUGCAUACCGGAUUUUCUUUACUAUGCCUGUUAAUGUGGCAUCAGCUGAAAGAAGUUUUUCGAAGUUGAAAUUGUUGAAGAACUACUUGAGAUCUACAAUGUCGCAAGAGAGGUUAAAUGGCUUGGCAACUUUAUGCAUCGAGAAAAAAUUGCUUGAUGAAAUUGAUAUUGAUACUAUCGUUAGAGAUUUUGCAUCUCAGAAUGUUAGCAGAAAAUUUUGA
rnacentral:rRNA from 1 species